rnacentral:lncRNA from 1 species
GAGAAAAUGCCUUAUAUUUAAUCCUUUCCAUCAUCCUAUGGGGUGAUGGGCAUCAAGGUCUUUCCAAGAUUGCUCACAGCCUGUAGGCUUUCAUCAUAGCAUUCUAGUUUCAACUGAGGUGCAAGUGUUAGAUUGAAAUUUCAUGAAGGAGAUUGUUUGGAUGAUAAUCUGAAUGUUGAGUGGAUUUCUUGAGCUUUGUGACCCAGAAGGCUCAGUUGUUUCCUGCAAGGGUUGAAAUCAGGCCAACUGACUACAAAACGGGAAAGCCCCCGACGUCCUCCCCAGGGGAGCCCAAAGCACUGCCAGGUGUAGGCUGCUCAGUCAGCGUUAAGGUUGCUGGCGGAGUGGCUGGAUAUGCUAGCUAGACGCCAAGCACCUCUGAUGGCCGCAGGCUGCUGUACCCCAUCCCAAUCCCACCACUGCCCCAGAUCCUGCUACAAGAGUGAGGGGGAUCCUUACUCUCCAGCCAGUAAAGCAGGGGGCAACAGAGCUGGUCUUUAUUUUAUUCCUAUGAGGCCUGUCUGCUGUUCUGUAUGAAAUGCUGGUAGUUCCACGGAGAUAUCAAAUUUAUCCAACUGGGAAAAAUAAUAUAAUUAUACCUAAUAUUACACUGGUAUUCAGAGACUUACCUGAACCAAACUCAACUUUGACCCUACUAGAAUUUGAAUAGACUUCCACUGGGUCACCAAAACGUAUUUUCUUAGACAUCAUAACAAGGUCAUUUCUCUUNNUGUGCAUAAGGGUAAGAUAUCAAUCCUACAUUUCAUUUACAACUGGGAGAAGUAUAGAGGUCCAGAAUAAUCUAUUAAUGACAUUUUCUUUAAAUAAGCUUUCUUUAUAAGUCCAUAGUAUAUUCAAAAGGAAAAAGAGGAAUGAAAUAAACUUACUGGACAGCACUAAGGGUUGCUAGAGAACCAACACAUGAAAUUUGAUUAUUAAGAGACAAAAAAAUGUCAGCAUAUACUACAACUUUCUAGGGUAAGUAUAUCUUAAGACAAUAAAAACAGCUUUAGUGAAGAAAGUUCAUCUGUCUUAAAAAAAAAUCCCAGUUAAUAUACGCAGAAGAAAUUAUACUAUUCAAAAAUCACCAUUUCACAACCUUUAAUGAAAUAAUCAAAUCUAGGCAAUGGUCAUUCUGUUAAGC